rnacentral:lncRNA from 1 species
UUGGAAUACAAGACACGCACACACACAUACACAAAAAAGGGGAACGAACGGGGAUUUUCUGGGCAGGAAACAAAACAAAACAAACAAAAAGAGACGAGCAAAAAAAACAGAGAGAGAGAGAGAGAGAUGAGCUAGCAAAAAUCACAAAAAAUUUGUUCUUCUUCUUCUUCACCUUUUUCCUACACCUUAAACUGCCAUGGAAAUGCAGCCCCAGUAGCUCCACAAUGCACCAACAAAACAGUCUACUUCCACCAUUAAAAAAUCAGUGGAAGCUCUCGUCUUCAUUCACCACAUAAACCUGCCAGAAAACUCCAUAAAGAGCCUUGUAACUCCAUGAAAAUCAGUGAAAUAGAGCUUCUUCCUCAACCAACAAGAACAUUAGCUCUCAGCCAUGUGAAGCCACCGAAUACCACCUCAAAUCACCCCAAACCAUCCCCUGUUUACUGCUAAAUCCCAACUUCAAUACACAGCAAAAGCUGUUGCCAAGGUUACCUGAAAAAGAAAAAGAAAUCCGUUUGAGCUCAAGUUCGAAGCAUUCUCGUCCAAGUUCGUCGUUUGAGGUUCGAAUUCUCAGCCGAUGUUCCAUCAUCAGCGAGGUGUCCGAUCUAAGAUUAGUGAGAUUUUUGGGCAGGUUCUUCGCUUCAGGUCGAGUUCUCCAUUUUUUUGGGACUGUCGUCUAAUUUCAUGUAAGUUGGUUUGGAGUUUUCGGCUGAAUAAAGGUUCCUUUUUCUUCUCUAAUAUGUUUCUUAGUUCAUGAUAUCUGUUGCGAUUUUGGUUGUCUUAUGAAAGUUAGAUGAAUAUUCUUAUUAGUAGUUGAUUACAGCAUGCCUAAAUCAUGAAAUCGCUUGAGAAUUUCUAUGGGGUCGAUGUAUAUUUUAGUGUUAUGAAUUUAGAAUCAAUGUGUACUGAUAGGAAGGUAUUGUUUCAUUUAUUAAAUUUGAGAUAAAACUAAUUGAAAUGUAUUAAGGAAAAUAAAUAACGUUUGCAAACAGAGAUUGAAAAGCAAGGUUUGGACUUAGCGAAAAGGAUUUGGGGCGUUGGAUGGAUUCACAUUUAAGAAGGAAUGUGUUAUUAUGAUUAUUGGGCCAUCUGAUACUUGGUCCAAAGUAGCAGGUAAGGAAUCCCAACGUGGUAUAUCCAUAUACUAAGACCAUUUUCGUAAAUAAUAAUUUAUCUUCUCAUACCAAAACAUUUCUAACACGAUAGCAUGCUUUAAGCACACUCUUAAUUAAUUAAAUUAUCGUGAUUAUGUAUAUGUUUGCGAGACAUAAUUAUGAUUUCAUCAUUAAAACCAAAGUAUGUGUUCGCGCAGUUUUGGAGAAAACAAUCUUAAUAAUAAUAAAAUAUUAUUGAUUGUGUACACGUUCGUGUGACACGAGUACAAUUUAAAAAUAAAUAUUCGUAUAAAAUGCUUUAGGCGCGACUUAAUCUAUCAUCGUGAUUGUGUACAAGUUCACGUGACAUAAUUGCAAUUUUUAAAAUAAAUCAAGGUAUGCAUUCGCGCAACUUUGGGACAAACAAUCUUAAUAAUAAUAAAGUGUUAUUAGUUGUGUACAUGUAUGCGUGAUAUGACUUUGACACACGAAACAAAACGAGUACACGUACACGUGACCCGUUUCGAGAUAAUUCCAUAAUUCAAUAAUCAAGCAAUUAAAAGCGGUUAAAAGGGUAAAAACACAUAGGUUUAAAAAUAAGUAUUUAAAAUAAUUUAAUUAAGCCAGGUAUGAUCAAAGAGACCAUGCUAAAACCACAGAAAUCAGGAGUGCCUAACACCUUCUCCCGGGUUAAUAGAAUUCCUUACCUGGUCUUCUAGUUUAGCAGACUUUAAAACAGAGUCAAAUUUCCUCGAUCUGAGAUUUAAAAUAAACCGGUGACUUGGGACACCAUAAAUUAUUUCAAGUGGAGACUUUGAAUAAAUAAAUAAUCCCAUUUCAAUUAAUAUCACUUUAAUUGGAAAAAUUCCCUUAUGUCCCUUUCGGGUAAAAAGGAGGUGUGACAGCUUAGGCGACUCUACUGGGGAUCGAACCCAGAAUCUCUGGUUCAGGGUUGAAGAAUUCGAACUUAUUAUUGUGAUUUUUACUUGGUUUUAUUUAUUGUUGAUAUUACUGUAUUUUGUGGGCCUAAUAUGCUAAUUGUCGCUUAUUUACCGCUUUGAUAUUGUUUGAACUGUAUUAAAUUGUCUUCUUACGCCUCCCUUCUGAGUCUUCUAAAAAUAGUGCACACAUAUGUGUGGCUUGAUUUUCUGUUAAAAGUCGUACCAAAUAGAACGAGGAUGGAUCAGUCACUAGGCCAGGUAGACUUUCGUGCUCCCAGUACGUCGCUCCCACCUAGACUCAAGUUGUCUGCUUGGGUAGGUCAAGUCUAAAACACAACUCUAGAUUUAAAUCUAGAAUAACAUAACCUCAUACCGGAUUCCUAGUAGGAACGUUUGUUUGCAUCACAUGCAUUUGACUUUGGAGACUCAACACAGGGGUUGGGUCCGUCUAGGACAGGUGUACCCAAAAUGAAAGAUCAUCCUGAUGCAUCUUACGUGCUAUUUGUAAAUUUAUUUGUUUCGGUUUGUAUGUUGAUCGGCUAAGGAAAGAAAAAUAGAAGAAAAACCAAGAGUGAGGUAGGAUAGAGAAUUCACCCGGUUCUGAAAAUUCCGGUAUUUGAAAAUGCCUCGAAUCUCUGCCAAAAUUUUUGGAAAAAAAAGAGGAAAAUAAAAUGUAUUUCAAAGAAUGAAAGUGAGUCAAUAUCAUGUUUUUUCCAAUUCUGUCAAAAGUGACCGAACUACACAGGCCCGAUUCUCACCUGAUGUGAGAUACAUAGGCAAACCUCAUCGGUUCUGGCCCACAAUUUUUAAAAAAAAUCCAAAAAUAUUUUUCUUUACUUACUUCUUUAGAAAGUCUUUCUUUAGAUCCCAAUUUUUAAGAAUACAAAAAUAUUUUCUUUUAAUUUCUUCUCAAAAUCCAAAAGUAUUUUCAUUCUUCUUUCAAAAUUUGAAAAGAAAAUUCAAGAUUCAAAAAUAUUUCCUUUUUCUUUAGAAGCAUUUCUUUCAUAAAUUUAAAAUAAAAUUUCAAAAAAUUCAAAAAUAUUUCCUUUCUUCUUUAAAAGUUUUUCUUUCGAAAAUUCAAAAAAAAAGAAAGAGAAAAAAAGUCAAAAUUCAAAAAAAAAUAUUUUCUUUCUUCUUUAAAAGUCUUUCUUUUCAAAAAUUUUAAAAAGAAACAACAAACAAACAAAUCGAAAUCCAAAAAUAUUUUGUUUCUUCUUUUCAAGUCUUUCUUUCGUAAAAAGUUCAAAAUCCAAAAAAAGAGUUAGUUUAUUUACUUUAUUCCUAAUUUUCCCGAACUACGCAAAGAUUUGAUUCAUGAGGCGUCAUGAUACGUAGGCAACCUACAUCAGGUUCGAUCGAAUAGUUUAAAAGAAAAAAAAAGAAACAAAAGAAAAAGAGAGAGAAUAAAGAAAAGAAAAAAGAAGAAGAAGAAGAAAAAGAGUGACCAUUCUAACAUGUUGUUUGUUUUGAAUUGUGAAGAAAGUUUGAGGUGGUCGGUAUGUGGUAAGCUAUCAACACAUCCAUUAUUCACAAGAUCCAAGGGAAAAAUACCAAUGACAACUGACAUCGAAGCUGUUACUAGUGUUCAAGAGACUCAUGGUGAGAGGGUUCAACAAAAAUCUAUUGUGGUUAAGGAAAAUAGGGUACUAAAGAAACAAAUGACUGAAAUGUGUCAAGCAUGGGCCAAUGGCUAAGGACCGCCCUUUUUUUCUCAUGGUUUCCCAGAGUUCACACCCAUCUCAACUACUGCCAUGCCGGUCUCAUUGUCUGAUCAAUCCUAUCCACCUGGGUUCAGUCAUUAUCCCAAAUGUACGACUACACCUGAAACUUCUAUUAUGCACUCCCAAAGUUUGCUAUUGACAACUAAUCGGACAACCACUAUUGUUAUGCUCGUCUUCACCAUCCCACAACCGAUGGUGGUGUAGAAGAAAACUCAUGAGUCAUAAUUUUCUACCCAGCAAGAGCAUUACCACUCUCCUAAGUACCACUCAUACUUGUUUGAUCUUCUUGCAAACAUUGAGAAGCCUGCCCGAAAGAUGGCACAGGAAGAAAUGACCCAAAGACUGAAAAGCUUAAAACAACAGUUGAAAACAUGUAAGGGUUGGCAGGUUAGAAGAGUAUUGCCUUCAAGGAUCUAUGUAUGUUCCCCGAUGUUCGUUUGCUACUUAGUUUCAAGAUCCCCAAAUUUUAAAAGUAUGAUGGACAUGGAGACCCAAUAGCCCACCUGAAAAGGUAUUGCAAUCAGCUAAGAGGUACUGGAAGAAAUGAAGAAUUUCUAAUAGCUUAUUUUGUGGAAAGCCUUAAGGGAGUAGCCUCCGAAUGGUUUAUGGAUCAAAACACCUCUCAUUGGCAUGUNNNNNNNNNNNNNNNNNNNNNNNNNCUGGGAUGACAUGGCCUGGGCCUUUGUCAAACAGUUCUAAUAAAACAUCGACAUUGCACCAGACCACAAUUCCCUUUCAAACCUGAAGAAGAAACCAAUUGAAAGUUUCAGGGAAUAUGCCACUUAAUGGAGAGAGCAAGCGACUAGAGUUAAGCCACCCAUGGAUGACCACGAGCUAAUCACUAUAUUCCUUCAGGCGGAAGAGCCAGAUUACUUUAAAAACAUGAUGUCCGCAGUUGGCAAAUCCUUCUCGGAAGCAAUCAAAAUGGGAGAAAUGGUAGAGAUUGGCCUUAAGACAGGUAGAAUUAUAAGUCAAGCAACUCUCAAAGCUGCAACUCAGUCUGUCCAAAUUGAAUCUAGUAAUUUUAGUGAAACGAAUGAUAAGGUUGAAGAAAUCAUGAUGACAUUAGGGUUGAGAAGAGGUCCUAGGAGAAUAGCUCGAAGGUAUGACCAGCCUCGUCUAUAUUUUGAUGAUUCCCUUGAGCACUACUAUCCACCUCAGAACCCACAAUACUCUAUUGCUCCACCCCAGUAUGUUGUCCAGCCACCAAGACACCCCACAAGGCGAGCACCAGCACCGCAAAAUCUUCACCAGCCUCUACAAAAUUUUCAAGUGCCCUAUAACCUACAUCCAAGCCAGGGGUAUAGAGGGGAACAAAGGUUGAAAGAUAAUUUUACACCAAUAGGAGAGUCCUAUGCAAGAGUAUUUGAGAAGUUAAAGCAUUAUGACAUGAUUGCACCCAUUCCUCCAAAUCAUGUGGACCCACGUGAAAGAAGCUUUGACUCUUCUAAAAGGUGUAAAUAUCAUUCCAAUGCCCAUGGGCACAAUGUUGAAAGCUGUUGGAUUUGAAAAGAUAAAUAGAAAGGAUGAUCCAGGAAAAAUUGAUUGUGAUCCAAGAUAGUGACACCCAGAAUAUCACGCAGAAUCCUUUACCUGCACAUGAUGAUGCACACUUUGUGGGGAUGAUGUGUGGUGACAUGGAGAAUGAGAAUCCUCUCGAGAACUUGCCAACCAAAAUUGGAGAAGGCCAUGGUGAUUCUGAUAAGCAAAUUUGUGGCUAAAUGUCAAGCUUAACAAUUGAAAAGUCAUUCCUUUCUCACUAGGAAGGAAUCUUGGUAGCUUGUUUUGAUUUUUUCUAUUAUCGGGGUUAUUUCAGGGUUGUGAUCCAAAUGUUAUUUGUUUUAUUGAGUCAGACCCUUCUAUCCUUCCAUUCUGUUUGUGUGAGUCUUGUCCGUUUGUUCUGUUGCUAUUUUCAUCAUCUGGGUUAUUUUAGGGUUGUAACUCGGAUCUUAGGUUGUUUGUCUUGUUGUUUACUCAAUGAAAUACAGUUUGUCCUUUUGUGUCAUUCCGUGCUUAGUUCUUUUUCGCUAGUUUAGUGACAUGACAUGCAUGUAAAAUUUUUGGCCAGAUCUUAGAAAACUGAUUUAGUCUUGAAUUGGAUAAUUGAUAAAAAGACACUUUUGAGGAUGAAAAAGAGUUAAAAUACCUUGAAAUUAAGACCGAGUAAAAUUCAAGUGGUACUAUAAUAGUCAUACUCGUGGAGGUUAAGGAUAUUUACCUUCAUAGUCAUUGUGAAGAUCGGGUUGAGGAAUAAUCAAUUGAAGUUUGUUGGAAAGUUUGACAUUAAUUGAUGGAAAGCGUCUUGUGACCACGAUACACCAAGAAGACAGACAUGUUCAUCAAUGCUGUAAUCGCGAAAAUAUACUAUGUUUGGCAUUCUCGAGGUUGAGAGGCCCUUUUUUCUGCUACCCAAAUACUUUAUAUCCUUUGUUACCCCUUUUGAGCCUGUGUUAUUUUCUUUGACCACUCUAUUUUGGAAUCAAGUUUAGAGUUAAAAGUCUAAUAAAAAAUAAAAAUGGAAAAAUGAUGAAAAAACGUCCAUACCCCAAGUGUACAAACUGGGGCAGCUUUUAGAAAAUUCAAGUGAAAAAAUGAAGAAGAAAAGAAUUUUCUGUAACGACCCGACCGGUCGUUUUAUGAGUUACCACUCCGUUUCUCCCAUUUCUACUUCUUUAUGUCUUGUUCAGCUGUAUUAUGUGGUAUUGGGGUGGUUGUUCUGCUGUAUUAUGUGGUAUUAGAGAAUGAGACACUUCGUCUCUUUUGAGUAAGCUUAAAUUGGAAAAGUCAAUCGGAUGUUGACUUAUGUGAACAAGGUCUCGGAUGUGAAUUCCGAUAGUUUGUAUAGCUUUGUUAGGUGAUUUGGUAGUUAGGUUCGUGAUUAGAAUGUAUUUUGGAGGUCAGUGGCAGAUUCAGGCUUGAAUUGGCGAAAUUAGAAUUUUAACAUUUUCCGGUUGGUAGUGGAAAUUUUGAUAUUGGGGUUGGAAUGGAAUUCUAGAAAUUGGGUAGGUCCGUUGUGUUAUUUUGUGAUGUGUGUGCAAAAGUUUAGAUCAUUCGGGCGAGGUUUGAUAGACUUUUUGAUCAAAAGCGGAAUUUGGAAGUUUUGGAAUUCUUAGGCUUGAAUCUGAGGGAAUUUGAUGUUUUGAUGUUGUUUUGAGCGUUCCAAAGGUUAGAAUAUGUUUGAAUGAUGUUAUGGGAUGUGUUGGAAUGUUUAGUUGAGGUCCCAAUGGCCUCGGGUGAGUUUUGGGUGGUUAACAAACCAAUUCUUGGUUUUGGGGAGUUGCAGAUUUUCUGGUUUUUGUUGCAAAGGAAAUUGUUCUUCGCGUUCGUGAAGAAGCGCUGGACCUAGAGGAGAAAAUGUUCUUUGCGUUCGCGAGCCUGGGGUCAUGUUUGCGUAGGUUUGGAUUCCAUUGAAUCGCGAAUGCGUGAGAGGAGUCCCGUUCGCGUAGGGUAAUUGGAGCAGCUGGGACCCCAUGAGUUUUUUGCUUUGCAUUCGCGUAGGUAAGGUCGCGUUCGCGAAGGCUUGGACAGUUGAAGCUUCGCAUUCGCGUGAAGGGAGUGGCGUUCAUGAAAGAGGAAUAUUUGGUCAAUGAGUUUUUGUACUUUGCGAAUGCGAGGCUUUGAGCGCGUUCGUGAAAAAGGAAUUAAUGCCUGGGCAGAAUGUUUAAAUAGUUGCCUUUGCGAUCUUUGGUACAUUUUCUCCAUUGUUGAACGGUUUGAAGCUUUUUGAGAGGGAUUAAAGAGGGAAUCAAAGCGAAACACUUGGAUGUAAGAUUUUGGAACUCAAUACUGGAUUCUAUGGUGAUUUCUACCUAAUUAAACAUGAAAUUAGUGAGAUUUAAAGCCUAAAUUUGGGGAAUUAGGUCUUGAAAUUGGAGACUUUGAUUUAAGGAUUUGAGGGGUCAUUAGUGGUCGGAUUUUGAUGUAUUUGGUAUAUAUGAACUCAUGAGAGUGUAAGGAUUCUAGUUUUGUAAUUUUUAUCGGAAUCCGAGACGUGGGCCUAGGGGUUGGGUUUGACCAAUUUUGGAAUUUUUGAUAUAAUUCGAUUAUUUUCGCUUGGGCUUUGUUCAUUUAGUGCGUAUUAAUGGUAUGAUACUAAUUUUGGUUAGAUUUGGGGCAAUUGGAGGACGAUUCGAGGGGCAAAGGCAUUGCGGGCUAGAGUUUGUAUCGGAUUGAUGUAAGUAAUGAUUGUAAAUGUUGUCUUAAGGGUAUGAAACCCCAGAUUUCACAUCGUUAUGCUACUUUGAGGUGACACACACAUCAGAUGACGAGCGUAGGGUUGUGCACCAUUGGGGAUUGUGACUUGUUCCGUCCCGUACGAAUAUUAAGUCGCGUAUUUGAUUGAAAACUGUUUGAAAUCAUUGUGUUUUGGAAAGUAUUACUAUGUUUUGGGCUAAAUGCCAUAUUUGGGCCUCGUGCCAAUUGUUUGGACCCUUAGGGUUUUUUUUACUACUAUUCCUCACUAUUCUGACCUCAUAUUUGUACUCAGUGAUGUUGUAUUCUACUGUUUUCAUACCUCAGCCGUAUUUACUCUGUUUUGACAUUUUAAAUGAUGUGUUGGGCUGAGCAUCAUGAUUUACUGUUGCCCGAAUAGCUUGAGAGGUUUCUAACUGAGUGAGGCCGAGGGCCUGUGUUGUGAGGAUUGUUAUGGGAUCGGGCUACGCACCGCAACAUGUGUACUGAUGUGUGAUAUAUGAGAGUCCGAUGGACUGAUUUGUUAUGCCACAAGAUGGCUUGUGGUAGCGCUUGGGCUGUAUGAGCCCCUUUGGAGUCUGAACACCCCCAGUGAGUGCGGGUACCCAGUUUGAGAGAUGUGAUAUUGCCCAAGGGGCUGAUGUUGUUUCAUGUUGUUGCCCGAGGGGCUGAUUACGAGUGAUUGUAAGGUAGCCCGGGGGCUUGGUUUCUGUUGAUAUUUUUCCCGAGGGGCAGUUGUGGUACAUGUUUUGCCCAAAGGGUUGUUUACGCUUUCUACCCUUUUACUCACUAUUUUUAUCACUCGUUUGAAACUAUUGAAAGAUAUUUUAAAAAUGUUUUACUAAAUUGAGUUAUUUUUACGAGUUUUGUUGAUUUAUUGUAUUAAUUCUGCACAUAUAUUGUUUUGUUGUGGUGCUAUGAUGUGAAAUUACCUGUUUCUUACAACUCAAGUGUUUUUACUUUUAUUACUUACUGAGUUGAUGUACUUACAUUACUCUCUGCACCUUGUGUGUAGAUACAGGAGUCUCGGGGCGCGAUAGUGAGUGCUGAUAAGUCUUCCAGCAUGUCUCCGGAGUUGACUAGGUAGCUGUUUGGCGUUUGCAUCCUAGUGCUUCUCCUUCAUAUCUUAUUCAGAUUGUCGUAGUAUUUUAUUUUCUAACUAUGCUGUCUUUUCUUAUUCUUAGAUGAGUUGUAGUUGCUCAUGACCGGUGACACUCUGAUGUCGGGCUUGUGUUAUAUUUUUGCACUGCUUAUUUUAGCUUAUAUUAUGAAAUUUUAGCUAAAGAAUGGCUUAAAAUGACUUAUAAUAAAUUUCUGGUUGGUUUUGGGGUUUGGUCGGCUGGCCUAGUUUCACGUUAGGCGCCAUCACGAUCAGGUCAGUUUUUGGGUCAUGACAAGUUGGUAUCGGAGCCUAGGUUACAUAAGUCUCAUAAAUCAUGAGCAGGUUUAGUAGAGUCUCGCGGAUCGGUACAGAGACGUCUGUACUUAUCCUCGGGAGGCUGCAGAACCUUUACGAAAACUUUAUAUUUUUGAAUUCCUGUCGUGCGAAUCUGUUGAUUCUAGUACUAAACUUUUGUUAUUCUAUUUCUCUCACAAAUGGUGAGGACACGUGCAACUGGACAGGACGGACAACCACCAGUACCACAAGCUAGCGCUACCAGAGGCCGAGGCCGUGGUAGGGGUAGGGGUAGGGAUGUAUCGCGCAUAGCAGCUAGGGAAGCACCUGCAAAUCCACUAGUCGCCCCAGUUCAUGAUCAAGUCCCAAUUGUGGGAGCUCUAGCAGCACCAACUCAGGCACUAGCUGUGCCCAUUGUGAUUCCAGGCCUUCAGGAGGCCCUGGCCCAGAUUCUAUUGGUGUGCACUGGCCUAGCUCAGGCGGUCUUAGUUACUACAGCCACAACUACUUCUCAGGCUGGGAGAGGAACUCAGACCCCCGCCGCUUACACACCUGAGCAGGUCGUGCUGGUACUUCAGACACCGGGGGCACCUCCAGCCCAGCUGGUUGCAGUUGCUCAGAAAUAUGUAGCUCCUUUUAUGCCAGAGGACGAGCAACACAAAUUGGAGAGGUUCGGUAGACUUCAGCCUCCGAGUUUUAGUGGUGCAGAGGGCGGUGAUGCCCAAGGUUUCUUGGACAAGUGUCAGAGGAUGCUUCAGACCGCAGGUAUUCUGGGGACCAGUGGGGUCUCAUUCACUACUUUCCAAUUCUCCGGGGCUGCACUUAAUUGGUGGGAGGCUUAUGAGAGGUGUAGGCCGGUUGGCGUAGCACCCCUUUCUUGGCAGCAGUUCUCCAUUCUCUUUCUGGAGAAGUUUGUACCUGAGUCUUGCCGAGAGGAGCUGCGCUGACAGUUCGAGCAGCUUCGUUAGGGCCACAAAUGUGUUACACAGUAUGACAAGUGGUUUUUUGAGUUGGCUCGUCAUGCGGUCUGGUUGGUUCCCACAGAUCGAGAGAGGAUCAGAAGGUUUAUAGAUGGCCUCAGCUUUUAGCUUCGAUUGAUUAUAACUAGAGAGAGAGAGUAUUUGGUGCUACUUUUGAUGAGUUUGUUGACAUAGCUCGACAGAUUAAGAUGGUUCGUGGUCAGGAGAUGAUAGAGAGGGAGGCUAAGAGGCCUCGUGGUUAGGGUGUAUUUAGUGGUACUCCUCAUGGGGGUCAGUUUCAGCACGGCAAAGCCAUCUAUUCAGGCAUGCUCAGUCAGCUCGCCCAGGUUAUCGUGAGGCAUCAUCGGGCCAUGGUUCUCACAGUUCUCAUCAGGGCCAUUUAUCAAUCAGUGCCCUUCCAGCCUAGAGUUCGUCCCGUGCUCCAUUAGUUCAGGUCUCUUCUAUGCUAGGUUCUUCUGCUAGUCAUCCCGGUGCUAAGGGUUCCCUUCAGUCCCUGUCUCCAGCACCUGGGGGUUGUUAUGAGUGUGGAGAGUUGGGUCACAUAUGGAGGCAGUGUCCUCGUCAUCUUAGGGAUUCAUCUCAGAAGAGGAGUCAGCUAUCAACUUCAGCACCAAUUACUUCACCACCCACCCACCCAGCUAGGGAUAGAGGACAGUCAUCUAGGGGUCGCCACAGAGGGGGAGGUUGAUCAGGUAGUGGUCAGGCCCAUUUCUAUGUAGUCCCAGCUAGACCUGAUGCUAUUGCUUCAGAUGAUGUGAUUACAUAUAUUGUCUUAGUUUGCCACAGAGAUGCCUCUAUGUUAUUUGAUCCCAGUUUUACUUUUUCAUAUUAGUCAUCAUAUUUUUCUCGUUAUUUGGAUAUGCCCCAUAAGUCUCUUGUUUCAUCUGUUCGUGUAUCUACUCCAAUGGGCGAUACUAUUAUUGUGGACCGCGUAUAUCGGUCGUGUGUGGUGACUAUUGGGGGUUUGGAGACCCGAGUGGACCUUCUAUUGCUUUGUAUGAUGGACUUUGAUGUGAUAUUACGCAUGGAUUGGCUAUCUCCAUGUCAUGCUAUUUUGGACUAUCAUGCUAAGACAAUGAUGUUGGCUAUGCCGGGUGUGCCACAGAUUGAGUGGCGAGGUUCGACUGAUUUUGUUCCCAGUAGGGUGAUUUCAUUUUUGAAGGCCCAACGGAUGAUUAGGAAAGAUUGUUUUUCAUCCUCAGCUUUUGUGAGGGAUGUCAGUAUCGAGGCUCCUACCAUUGAUUCAGUCCCGGUAGUGAGGGACUUUUCGGAUGUGUUUCCUGCAGACCUGUCGGGCAUGCCACCGGAUAGGGAUAUUGGUUUUGGUAUUGAUCUAGUGCUGGGCGCUCAUCCCAUUUCUACUCCACUGUAUCUUACGGCACCAGUGGAGUUGAAGGAGCAGCUCCAGGAACUCCUUGAUAAGGGGUUUAUUCGGCAUAGUGUGUCGCCUUGGUGUGCGCCUGUUCUAUUUGUGAAGAAGAAGGAUGGCACGAUGAGGAUGUGCAUUGACUACAGGCAAUUGAACAAAUUUACAAUCAAUAACAAGUAUCGUUUGCCUCGUAUCGAUGAUUUAUUUGACCAGCUUCAGGGAGCGAAAGUUUUCUCCAAGAUUGAUCUCCAUUCAGGGCAUCACCAAUUGAAGAUUAGGGACUCGUAUAUUCUUAACAUAACUUUUGAGAGCUGUGUUGAAGCGAUUGAGGGAGGAGAAGCUUUAUGCAAAGUUCUCCAAAUGUGAGUUUUGGGUGGUGUCUAGUGAGGGUAUUCAGGUUGAUCCAAAGAAGAUAGAGGUGGUUCAGAGUUGGUCCAGACCGUCCUCAUCCAUAGAGAUUCGUAGCUUUCUUGGUUGGGCGGGUUAUUACCAUCGGUUCGUUCAGGGAUUUUCAUCUAUAGCAUCAGCCUUGACCAAAUUGACUUAAAAGGGUGCUCCAUUCAAGUGGUUGGAUGAGUAUGAGGCGAGCUUUCAGAAGCUCAAGGCUGCCUUAACCACAACUUCAGUGUUAGUUUUGCCAUCAGCUUCAGGUUCAUAUACAGUGUAUUGUGAUGUUUCAAGAGUUGGUAUUGGGUGUGUGUUACUGCAUGAGGGUAGAGUGAUUGCUUAUGCUUCUCGUUAGUUGAAGCCCCACGAGAAGAACUACCCCAUUCAUGAUUUGGAACUGGCCGCCAUUGUCCAUACAUUGAAGAUUUGGAGGCAUUAUCUCUAUGGUGUGUCUUGUAAGGUGUUUACGGAUCAUCGUAGCCUCCAGCACUUGUUCAAAUAGAAAGAUCUCAAUUUGAGACCACAGAGAUGGUUAGAGCUGCUAAAGGACUAUGAUAUUACCAUCUUGUACCAUCCGGGGAAGGCAAAUAUAGUGGCCUAUGCCUUGAGUGGGAAGGUGGUGACUAUGGGCAGUCUUGCAUUUAUUCCUAUUGGGGAGAGACCUCUUGCAGUUGAUGUUCAAGCCUUGGCCAAUUGGUUUGUGAGGUUGGAUAUUUCAGAGCCCAGUCGGGUCUUAGCUUGUAUGGUUUCUCGGUCUUCCUUGUUCGAUCGCAUCAGAGAGCACCAAUAUGAUGAUCCUCAUUUGCUUGUCCUUAAGGACAAAAUUUAGCAUGACGAAGCCAGAUAUGUUAAGGAUGCAGGGCUGGAUAUGUGUGCCCAAUGUAGACGGGCUUCGGGAGUUGAUUCUGGAGGAGGCCCAUAGCUCGCGGUAUUCCAUCCAUCCGGGUGCCGCGAAGAUGUAUCAGGAUUUGAGACAAUAUUAUUUGUGGAAGAGAAUGAAGAAGGACAUUGUGGGGUUUGUAGCUCGGUGUCUCAAUUGUCAGCAGGUGAAAUAUGAGCAUCAGAGACCGGGUGGCUUGCUUCAGCAGAUGGAUAUUCCAGAGUGGAAGUGGGAGCGGAUCACCAUGGAUUUUGUAGUUGGACUCCCAUAGACUUUGAAGAAGUUCAAUGCUAUUUGGGUGAUUGUGGAUCGGCUGACCAAGUCCGCGCACUUCAUUCCUAUGUUUACUACCUAUUCUUCAGAGCGGGUUGCAGAGAUCUAUAUCCGAGAGAUUGUUCGGUUGCAUGGUGUCCCAAUUUCUAUUAUUUCUGAUAGAGGUACUUAGUUUACUUCACAGUUUUGGAGGGCCGUGCAGAGAGAGUUGGGUACUCAGGUUGAGUUGAGCACAACGUUUCACCCUCAGACGGACGGGCAGUUCGAGCGCACUAUUCAGAUAUUAGAGGACAGGUUCCAAGCAUGUGUCAUUGAUUUUGGUGGUUCGUGGUAUCAGUUUCUACUGCUUGCGGAGUUUUCAUAUAACAACAAUUAUUAGUAGAGUAUUCAGAUGGCUCCAUAUGAGGCUUUAUAUGAGAGACAGUGUAGAUCUCCAAUUAGUUGGUUUGAGCCGGGUGAGGCUAGGCUUUUGGGUACAUACUUGGUGCAGGAUGCUUUGGACAAGGUAAAGGUGAUCCAAGAGUAGCUUUGUACAGCGCAGUCGAGACAAAAGAAUUAUGCGGACAGGAAGGUUCGUGAUGUGUCCUACAUGGUUGGGGAGAAGGUUCUAUUAAAGGUUUCACCCAUGAAGGGUGGUAUGAGUUUUGGGAAGAAUGGUAAAUUGAGUCCUCGAUUUAUUGGGCCUUUUGAGGUGCUUCAGAGGAUUGGGGAGGUGACUUAUGAGCUUGCUUUGCCACCCAGCUUAUCAAGUGUGCAUCCAGUAUUUCAUGUUUUUAUAUUCCAGAAGUAUAUUGGCGAUCCGUAUUAUAUUUUGGAUUUCAACACGGUUCAAUUGGACGGUGAUUUGACUUAUAAUGUGGAGCCAGUAGCUAUUUUGGAGUAUCGGGUUCAAAAGUAUAGGUGAAAUGAUAUCUCUUCAAUGAAAGUGCAGUGGAGAGGUCAACCUGUAGAGGAGGCUACCUAAGAGACCGAGUGGGAGAUACGAAGCAGAUAUCCUCACCUAUUUGAGGAUUCAGGUAUGUUUCUUGACUCGUUCGAGGGCGAACAUUUGUUUAAGAGGGGAGGAUGUAACGACUCGGCCGGUCAUUUAAUGAGUUACCGCUCCGUUUCCCCCAUUUCUGUUUCUUUAUGCCUUGUUCAGCUUUAUUAUUUGGUAUUGGGGUGGUUGGUUCGGGUUCAGAGUGGUUUUUUAAAGAAUGAGAUACUUAGUCUCUUUUGAGUAAGCUUUAGUUGGAAAAAUCAACCGGAUGUUGACUUAUGUGAAAAAAGGUAUCGGAUGUGAAUUCCGAUGGUUCGAAUAGCUUCUUUAGGUGAUUUGGGGCUUAGGAGCAUGAUCAGAAUGUAUUUUGGAGGUCUGUGGUAGAUUCAGACUUGAAUUGGCAAAAUUGGAUUUUGGCAUUUUCCGAUUGGUAGUGAAAAUUUUGAUAUAGGGGUCGAAAUGGAAUUCCGAAAAUUGGAGUAGGUCCAUUGUGUCGUUUUUGAUGUGUGUGCAAAAUUUUAGGUCAUUUAGGCGAGGUUUGAUAGGCGUUUUGAUCGAAAGCGAAAUUUGGAAGUUUUGGAAUUCUUAGGCUUGAAUCCGAGGGUGAUUUGAUGUUUUGAUGUUGUUUUGAUCGUUUCGAAGGUUGUAACAAGUUUGAAUGAUGUUAUGGGAUGUGUUGGCAUGUUUGGUUGUGGUCCCGAGGGCCUCGGGUGAGUUUCGGGUGGUUAACGAACCAAUUCUUGGUUUUGGAGAGUUGCAGAUUUUCUGGUUUUUGAUGCAGAGGAAAUUGUUCUUCGCGUUCGCAAAGAUAGUCCCACGUUCGCGAAGAAUAGCUGGACCUAGAGGAGAAAAUGUUCGUCGCAUUCAUGAGCCUGGGGUCGCGUUUGCGUAGGUUUGGAUUCCAGUGAAUCGCGAACGCGUGAGAGGAGUCGCGUUCGCGUAGGGUAAUUGGAGCAGCUGGGGCCCCAUGAGUUUUGUGCUUCGCGUUCGUGUAGGUAAGGUCGCGUUCGCAAAGGCUUGGACAGUUGAAGCUUCGCGUUCGCGUGAAGGGAGUCACGUUUGCGAAAGAGGAAUAUUUGGUCAGUGAGUUUUUGUGCUUUGCAAACGCAAGGCUUUGACCGCGUUCACGAAGAAGGAAUUAAUGCCUGGGCAGAAUGUUUAAAUAGUUGCCUUCGCAAUUUUUGGUCCAUUUUCUCCAUUAUUGAACGGUUUGAAGCUUUUUGAGUGGGAUUGAAGAGGGAAUCGAAAGGACAAACUUGGAGGUAAGCUUUUUGAACUCAGUACUCGAUUCUAUGGUGAUUUCUACCUAAUUAGACAUGAAAUUAGUGAGAUUUAAAGCCUACAAUUGGGGAAUUAGGGCUUGAAAUUGGAGACUUUGAUUUAAGGAUUUGAGGGGUCGUUUGUGGUUGGAUUUUGAUGUAUUUGGUAUGUAUGAACUCGUGAGAGUGUAAGAAUUCUAGUUUUGUAAUUUUUAUCGGAAUCCGAGAUGUGGGUCGGGUUUGGCCAAUUUCGAGAUUUUUGAUGUAAUUCGAUUAUUUUUGCUUGGGCUUUGUUCCCUUAGGCGUGUAUUAAUGGUAUGAUACUGAUUUUGGUUAUAUUUGGAGCAAUUGGAGGUCGAUUCGAGAGGCAAAGGCANCGCGGGCUNNNNNNNNNNNNNNNNNNNNNNNNNNNNNNNNNNNNNNNNNNNNNNNNNNNNNNNNNNNNNNNNNNNNNNNNNNNNNNNNNNNNNNNNNNNNNNNNNNNNNNNNNNNNNNNNNNNNNNNNNNNNNNNNNNNNNNNNNNNNNNNNNNNNNNNNNNNNNNNNNNNNNNNNNNNNNNNNNNNNNNNNNNNNNNNNNNNNNNNNNNNNNNNNNNNNNNNNNNNNNNNNNNNNNNNNNNNNNNNNNNNNNNNNNNNNNNNNNNNNNNNNNNNNNNNNNNNNNNNNNNNNNNNNNNNNNNNNNNNNNNNNNNNNNNNNNNNNNNNNNNNNNNNNNNNNNNNNNNNNNNNNNNNNNNNNNAGGUGACACACACGUUAGAUGACGGGUGUGGGAUCGUGCAUCGUUGGGGAUUGUGACUUGGUCUGUCCCGUACGACUAUUAACUCACGCAUUUGAUUGAAAAUAGUUUGAAAUCAUUGUGUUUUGGAAAGUAUUACUAUGUUUUGGGCUGAAUGCCAUAUUUGGUCAUCGUGCCAACUAUUUUGGACCCUUAGGGGAUUUUUUUACUAUUAUUCCUCACUGUUUUGAUCUUAUAUUUUUACUCAGUCAUGCUGUAUUCUACUGUUUUCAUAACUCUGCCGCAUUUAUUCGUUUUGACAUUUUAAAUGAUGUGUUGGGCUGACCAUCAUGUUUUACUAUUACCCGAGUGGCUUGAGAUGUUUCGAACUGAGUGAGUCUGAGGGCUUGUGUUGUGAGGAUUGCUAUGGGAUCGGGCUGCGCGCCGCAACAUGUACACUGAUUUGUAAUAUAUGAGAGGCUGAGAGCCUGAUUUGUUAUGCCACGAGAUGGCUUGUGAUAGCGCUUGGGCUGUAGGAGCCCCUCCGAGUCUGAACACCCCCAGUAAGCACGGGUACACAGUGUGAGAGAUGUGAUAUUGCCUGAGGGCCUGAUGUUGUUUCAUGUUGUUACCCGAGGGGCUGAUUACGAGUGAUUGUGAGGUAGCCCGAGGGGCUGGUUUCUGUUAAUAUUUUGCCCAAGGGGCGGUUGUGGUACAUGUUUUGCCCGAGGGGCUGUUUAGGCUUUCUACUCUUUUACUCACUGUUUUCAUCACUCGUUUGAAACUAUUGAAAGAUGUUUUAAAAAGGUUUUACUGAACCGAGUUGUUUUCUUGAGUGCACAUAUACUGUUUUGUUGUGGUGCUAUGAUGUGAAAUUACCUGUUUCUUAUUGCUCGGCUAAUUUUACUUUUAUUACUUACUAAGUUGGCGUACUCACAUUACUCCCUGCACCUUGAACCAGGAGUCUCGGGGCGCGAUAUUGAGUGCUGAUAAGUCUUCUAGCAGGUCUCCAGAGUUGACUAGGUAGCUGCUUGGCGUUCGCAGCCCAGUGCUUCUCCUUCCUAUCUUAUUCAGAUUGUCAUAGUAUUUUAUUUUUGGACUAUGUUGUCUUUUCUUAUUCCUAGACGAGUUGUAGUUGCUCAUGACUGGUGACACCCUGAUGUCGGGCUUGUGUUAUAUUUUCGCACUGCUUAUUUUAACUUAUAUUAUGGGAUUUUAGCUAAAGAAUGGCUUAAAAUGA